rnacentral:rRNA from 1 species
UAGAGUUUGAUCCUGGCUCAGAUUGAACGCUGGCGGCAGGCCUAACACAUGCAAGUCGAGCGGUAACAUUUCUAGCUUGCUAGAAGAUGACGAGCGGCGGACGGGUGAGUAAUGCUUGGGAACAUGCCUUGAGGUGGGGGACAACCAUUGGAAACGAUGGCUAAUACCGCAUAAUGUCUACGGACCAAAGGGGGCUUCGGCUCUCGCCUUUAGAUUGGCCCAAGUGGGAUUAGCUAGUUGGUGAGGUAAAGGCUCACCAAGGCGACGAUCCCUAGCUGGUUUGAGAGGAUGAUCAGCCACACUGGAACUGAGACACGGUCCAGACUCCUACGGGAGGCAGCAGUGGGGAAUAUUGCACAAUGGGCGCAAGCCUGAUGCAGCCAUGCCGCGUGUGUGAAGAAGGCCUUCGGGUUGUAAAGCACUUUCAGUCAGGAGGAAAGGUUAGUAGUUAAUACCUGCUAGCUGUGACGU